ACAGGCAAGCUUUCCGGUGGGCUCUGUGGUACCUGAUGUAAAGUGAAUGGUCUGCACGAACACAAAUACUCUUAUCUCGCUGAAAUCGUGACGGAUUUAAAAAUGGUUCAGUUUCUUACAAACAUUAUUAACGUGGCUAUAAUUCUGGAUGCUUGAACAUGUUUCAUGAACAUUAUUCAUAAGUACAUCUCUGACAUUUAUAACAAACCAACAAGAUAGGUAGAAAAUGUAAGCAAGUUAUGGUUAUUUAAAAAGUACAUGCACUAUUAAAACACAAUGUUAUGAGUGAGCAAGCUGACUGUGACAAGAUGGCGCCAGGUGCGGAUGUCGAACUCCAUUGGCCAGCAGCGCGGACAAGAGUUUAUUAUGAAUAUCUAUGGCCAGGACUGUCCUUUCAUUGUGUCUAUAGAUAAAAAUAGCAAUGAAUACUUUUAUUCAGAAAACAUUAUUAUGUUUUAGUUCUCAGAGUGUCCACCCAAUUAUGAUAAGGUGCACAGAGAGAUGUCACGGGAGGGUGCGAGAGUUCUCGCGCUGGGAUACAAAGAGAUGGGACACCUGAGCCAUCAGCAGGUAUGGCCCUACUGGCUAACACCCCAGAGCGUAUACCAAAGAGGAAGAAGAGAAAUAAAGACAAAGAGAUUUCCUCUGUAGACCCCAGACCUCCUCCUCCAGUCACAAGUUCAGGGAAACUCACUUCACGUGGAGCCAGACAGAGAAUAAUUGCAGAGAGAGAGGAACAGCUCGUUGCACAAAAGGAGCGGAUCAGUCAAGAACUACGAGAAUUAGAAGAAGAUCAGAUACAAGUUGUCAAACUGGGCGAUGCGUCCAUUGCUGCUCCGUUCAUAUCUAAGCUGUCCUCUAUUCAGUGCAGUAAGUCAAACUCACUGGGUUUUACCCUGUUCCUGUUACCUGUUUUUGUAUUCUGCCUGUUUUUGACCUGUGCCUGUAUU